rnacentral:rRNA from 1 species
GACGAACGCUGGCGGCGUGCUUAACACAUGCAAGUGGUGCGACGAACCAGGCUUCGGCCUGCGGCGCAGCCGCUAACGGGUGAGUAACACGUGGUCAAUCUGCCCCUUUGAUCGGGACAACCCGGGGAAACCCGGGCUAAUACCUAAUGCGGUUGCGACUCCUGAGCGUCCUCACGCAAUGACGCUUCGGCCUCCGCGAAGGGAUCAGUCCGCGGCCCAUUAGCUUAUUGGUGGGGUAAUGGCCUACCAAGGCAACGAUGGGUAGCUGGUUUGAGAGGCCGAUCAGCCACACUGGGACUGAGACACGGCCCAGACUCCUACGGGAGGCUGCAGUGGGGAAUCUUGCGCAAUGAGCGACAGCUUGACGCAGCAACGCCGCGUGAGGGAAGAAGGCUUUCGGGUCGUAAACCUCUUUCAGUUAGGACGAAGCUUUAUUGGUUAAUAACCAAUUGGAGUGACGGUACUUUCAGAAGAAGCCCCGGCUAACUACGUGCCAGCCGCCGCCGUAA